rnacentral:rRNA from 1 species
AUUGAACGCUGGCGGCAUGCUUUACACAUGCAAGCCGAACGGCAGCAUGGGCUUCGGCCUGAUGGCGAGUGGCGAACGGGUGAGUAAUAUAUCGGAACGUACCCAAGAGUGGGGGAUAACGUAGCGAAAGUUACGCUAAUACCGCAUACGAUCUUCGGAUGAAAGCAGGGGACCGCAAGGCCUUGCGCUCCUGGAGCGGCCGAUAUCUGAUUAGCUAGUUGGUAGGGUAAAGGCCUACCAAGGCAUCGAUCAGUAGCUGGUCUGACAGGACGACCAGCCACACUGGAACUGAGACACGGUCCAGACUCCUACGGGAGGCAGCAGUGGGGAAUUUUGGACAAUGGGGGCAACCCUGAUCCAGCAAUGCCGCGUGAGUGAAGAAGGCCUUCGGGUUGUAAAGCUCUUUUGUCAGGGAAGAAACGGUUGUGGCUAAUAUCCAUGACUAAUGACGGUACCUGAAGAAUAAGCACCGGCUAACUACGUGCCAGCAGCCGCCGUAAGAC